rnacentral:lncRNA from 1 species
CAGGCACUUCAGGACGGGGAUCGGGGACGAAGCAUCCGUGCCCCGAAUCCGUCCAUAUAUGAUUAUGCAUACUUUGCUAUGAAAUAUUUUGGCUGUUAGAUUUUGUAUGAUUAUUAGUAGCCAAAUGUUUUUGCAAUGUUUUUUGGUUAUGAAUGCGUUAUGUGUUGUUUUUAUUUAUCUAAAAAGAAAGAUGCAAAAUAUUUAUUUUUUGAAAUAAGAGAAAAAAAAAUAACGUCAUACUACUGUCAUUAUUUGACCGAAAAAUAUAGAAAUUUUGUUAAUAUUUGAUAUCCG